GGGGCUUCACCAUCAACUUGAUAUAGCCAAUAGAAUGUUAGUAAAUUUGAUAUAAGCAGAGGGUUUAAAUACGUUUGGUAUGUAAUUUAGUUUGGUUUCUUGCAUGCCUGCCAUUCACCAUGAGAGAACAUGCCUCAGACAGCUGCUGGUCCAAGGAGGAUAAAACCUGAACACAAUCUGCAAAUUGGAGUCUGGAGCCUGGAUUUCAGCCUAGCCCAGGUCAACAGGUCAUGGUGACCACAAAGGGAACUGAAGGAGAUGAGCCCCUGAGGAACCAAUGACGCCAGAACUGUGUGAGGUGCCCGCUCGAGCCAUCUGUGCCCUCCGCUUCUAUCAACUGAUUAACAGAAGACAAAGUCAGGAAGACCAGAAAUGCUGGGCAGAGACUAAAAUGUGAGGGAGCAUGUCGCCAGAAAUCCGACAGCCGCAAAUCAGCACAGCCUGACCCACGGCUCGCCGGCUGAGGCUGAACGUCAGGAGAGAAAUGUGCACCACUCCUACAGCAACGGGGUGAAAGUGAGAAAUAAAUUAACCAAAGUUCGAGCUCAUCUUGCACAGUAACAAGGACCCUGCAGAUAAGGAGAGAACUUGCUGACGACCUCUUUCCACCAAACGUGGCGCAGGCGCAUUGCGGGACCAGAAUGACCGAUCAGUGAACUCGGGAUGUCACAGGCCAAAAAUCCACCACAUGUAACACACAGAACCUCCCUGAAUUUACACAUGUGACCCCUGAAGAGCCGUGAAGGACAGUCUCGCCUGCGCAGAAGACUCUUGAAAGUUCCUCUUGCCAUUUCUCCGUCCCCAAGCCCCUCCUACUCCCUACUCCCCGAUAAAUAUCCCAC
rnacentral:lncRNA from 1 species